GAUAUCGUCGUCAUCCCAACGCGCGUGCUCCGGACUAGGAUUUGCUCUUGAGGGAACACGAGCCCUCUACCAGCACUCACACAAGAUCUCCGGCUAUCUGUGACAUCCUAGAUAGAUAGAGCACACGCACCCACAGUCCUCGACGAUUUCCUUUCCUUUAGUUUUUCAAUUUUCCUUUUUUGUUUAGCUUCUGAAAUUUGACAUUCAGCGGACCAUAAACUUAGAAAACUUUUAUAGUGAUUUCUUUUUUGCUUGCACUCAAGGAAUGUACGAAACCCACAAACUGUCAGGGUGUUUUCUCAUUCCUAACUGAAAAUUCACGUCCAAGGAACGUAUAGAUUGAGGAAAGUUUCCGAGUGAUUUGGAAAAGACAGAAUAAAUCAAGGCCAAGCAGAGUUACAAGGACAGAGUUCCAGACAACCCGAGGCCCCAGUAGAAGGCUGUAAGACUAGAAGACAUCACUUCUCCACAGACUCAGCUCCACUCACAAAGUA
rnacentral:sRNA from 1 species